UCGCCGCUUUCGCACCACACACUACCUGUUUGCUUGAUUCUCUUGUUUUUUUUUUGUUUGUACUCCUCAGAACGCAGAAACUACUAGCGCGCGCACACGCACACACCUCGCCCAACCAGUGCUUUUAAACCCCUCUUGCCUCCACUAUACCCGCUCACUUCCACAGCAGCACCUGCUACACACUGUACCUUUUCCCGCCUUGUUUUUCGUAUUCGCCCUUUGUUUUUUUUUUGCUUUUUUGAUUCCAACGCUCUCUUCUCCGCUCACGCAUCCGCCGCCCCCCCCCUGCACCCCGUCACGUCCUUCUCGUGCGCACGUUGCACAACAAGUAUCGGCAAAGAUGGCGCGCCGCAACCCCUUUUUUUUUGCGAUAGUGGUAACUAUCCUGUUCGUGGUGUGCUACGGUUCCGCUCUUAUCGCCCAGACACCUCUCGGCGUCGACGACUUCAUUGCCUCGGCGCAUUACGGACGCUUUAAGAAGCGCCACGGCAAGCCCUUCGGCGAGGACGCCGAGGAGGGUCGACGCUUCAACGCCUUCAAGCAGAACAUGCAGACAGCCUACUUCCUCAAUGCGCACAACCCGCACGCGCACUACGACGUGUCCGGCAAGUUCGCGGACCUCACCCCGCAGGAGUUCGCCAAGUUGUACCUGAACCCCAACUACUACGCGCGCCACGGCAAGGAUUACAAGGAGCACGUGCACGUCGACGACAGCGUCCGCAGUGGUGUGAUGUCGGUGGACUGGCGUGAGAAGGGUGUCGUGACGCCGGUGAAGAACCAGGGAAUGUGCGGCUCGUGCUGGGCCUUCGCCACCACUGGCAACAUCGAAGGCCAGUGGGCUUUAAAAAACCACUCGCUGGUUUCGCUGUCGGAGCAAGUCCUCGUGUCGUGUGACAACAUCGAUGAUGGGUGCAACGGCGGGCUGAUGGAACAGGCAAUGCAAUGGAUCAUCAACGAUCACAACGGCACUGUGCCCACGGAGGACAGCUACCCCUACACCUCUGCCGGCGGCACGAGGCCUCCGUGCCAUGACAACGGCACCGUCGGCGCCAAAAUAGCAGGUUACAUGUCCCUGCCGCAUGACGAGGAAGAGAUCGCGGCUUAUGUAGGGAAGAACGGCCCAGUCGCCGUCGCCGUCGACGCGACAACCUGGCAGCUGUACUUUGGCGGUGUGGUCACCCUCUGCUUCGGGUUGUCGCUCAACCACGGUGUGCUCGUUGUCGGCUUCAACAGACAAGCAAAACCGCCGUACUGGAUCGUGAAGAACUCGUGGGGCUCCUCGUGGGGUGAGAAGGGGUACAUCCGCCUUGCCAUGGGCAGCAACCAGUGCUUGCUGAAGAAUUACGCCGUGACGGCCACGAUUGACGACUCCAACACCUCACACGUGCCGACGACAGCGGCCUAGCCGGAGCCCAGCCCCACGGCGCUUGUGCAGAUGAACUGUUUGAGUGGGUGCGCGCGGCUGUGCACAAACACGACCUAUCCGACCGGUGUGUGCCUGAAGCGUAAGAAUGGCGGCUCUGCCCAGGUAGCCUGUGGCAAAUCCGAGACGGUGGAGCUUCUCUACGACUCGCCGGGCUGCUCCGGGCCUGCCAACGAGGCCCGCGUGCCGCCGAGCCUAUGUAUGUGCAGCUACGCCGGCUACCUCCAGAACGUCCGCACUGAGUCUGUCGCUGCGGUGAGAACCAACGACGCCGUCUCUAACUUGGCCAAGCCGCUCAUCUUCGGCCAACCACACGCGAGGCACGCAGAGAUCUAGGACUGGCAGGAUGCACUGUGCGCUGUGCACCUCAGCCGCGCCGAUGCGGAUCCCUCCCUCAACCUCUCUUUGGAUGCCUCUCUGCCUUCCCCCGAGUGCCAUGAAGUCAUGACCCUACCGUAUACCUCUGCGGUAGUCCCUUUCGAAGUGCACCUACUCGCGACGAGUCCGCGCGGCUUGUCACAGUCCAUUGCGACUCGCAGGUCGUCAGCUUGCACAACGCGAUCUGGCGCACAGCUGAUAAGACAGUGCAAGAGCACCGUGCCGGCCACCGCCACCCCCUGCCUCCACCACCAUCGCGAGCAUCGUACUCUCUUGCUUUACCUGAAGAGCGACGACGGUCUCUGCCCCGUCUCUCUGUCCGUUUGCUGUUCCUUUCAUAUUUGUUGUUUCGCCUUCACCACCCCGUUCUUUUCGUGCUUUUUGCUUUUCCUUCCGACUGACAUGCACGCAUAUAUAUAUAUAUAUAUAUUUGCAUAUACAUGCGAUGGUGCAGGCGUGCCAUGGACAGUGAAAUGCCGACGACGAAGGCCCGCCAUCUCUCUCCCCCUCGCGUCCUCCUCCCCUUCCCAAGCCAGCAAGCGAGUGCGUCGGUCCGUGCGAAUAUAUGUAAUGCUUCUUUGGUUUCCUUUACUUCUUCCUCUUAUUUAUUUGUGCACGGUUUGCUCCGAGCACAACGGUGCGGCGAGAUCGGAGGACAACGGCGUUUUCUUGUCGUCGUCUAGUGGCAGCGAGACCUCUGCUCUACCCGACAACGUCACUGCAGGCCUCCGCCCUCUUUGAGAGAGGGCCCCAGUGACCUUACACAGACCAUUCUCUCUCGUUGUUUCCACGGUCCUUGCCUUCUGCGC
rnacentral:misc_RNA from 1 species